rnacentral:rRNA from 1 species
GGGGAAUAUUGCACAAUGGGCGGAAGCCUGAUGCAGCAACGCCGCGUGCGGGAUGACGGCCUUCGGGUUGUAAACCGCUUUCGCCUGUGACGAAGCGUGAGUGACGGUAAUGGGUAAAGAAGCACCGGCUAACUACGUGCCAGCAGCCGCGGUGAUACGUAGGGUGCGAGCGUUGUCCGGAUUUAUUGGGCGUAAAGGGCUCGUAGGUGGUUGAUCGCGUCGGAAGUGUAAUCUUGGGGCUUAACCCUGAGCAUGCUUUCGAUACGGGUUGACUUGAGGAAGGUAGGGGAGAAUGGAAUUCCUGGUGGAGCGGUGGAAUGCGCAGAUAUCAGGAGGAACACCAGUGGCGAAGGCGGUUCUCUGGGCCUUUCCUGACGCUGAGGAGCGAAAGCGUGGGGAGCGAACAGGCUUAGAUACCCUGGUAGUCCACGCUGUAAACGGUGGGUACUAGGUGUGGGGUCCAUUCCACGGGUUCCGCGCCGUAGCUAACGCUUUAAGUACCCCGCCUGGGGAGUACGGCCGCAAGGCUA